AUUGAACGCUGGCGGCAGGCCUAACACCUGCAAGUCGAGCGAGCGGCGGACGGGUGUGUAAUGUAUGGGGACUGCCCGAUAGAGGGGGAUAAAUACUGGAAACGGUAGCUAAUACCGCAUCCUCUCGGAUAACCCAUAUGGGAUUAGGUAGUAGGUGAGGUAAUGGUUCACCUAGGCGACGAUCCCUAGCUGGUAUGAGAGGAUGAUCAGCCACACGGGAAAUGUGAAUAGGCCAAGACUCCAAGGGAGGCGGCAGGGGGGAAGGUUGCAGAAUGGGCGAUAGUCAGAUGAAGCCAUGCCGCGUGUAUGAAGAAGGCAAUAGGGUUGUAAAGUACUUUCAGUCGGGAGGCGUUACCGUCUUAAGAAGCACCGGGUAACUCCGGUCCAGCAGCCGCGGUAAUAC
rnacentral:rRNA from 1 species